GAUUUCGAGUAUGAUGGGGAAAAUAAAAAAUUGUUAUGAAAUAACUUAUAAUUUAUAUUAUCGAGAAAUUUAAAUAAGAGUUUAGUUUAAUACCCGUAGGAAGCAAAUAACACUAGUAUAAGGGAGAUAGUUUAUUAUAAGGAAGAAGAAAAAGAUGUAAUGAUUCUUUGAUUAUAAACUCUUGUUCUUGUUUUUGGUGUACAAAAGAGUGAGAUGAGUGAUGAUAUUUAUAGUGAACAACAAUACAUAAAAUAACAAAGAUGGUGCUUAAUUUGGUAAAUGAGUGGGUGAUCAUAGUGUUUGAUGAGUAGAUGAUCAUAGUGCUUGAGUUGGUAAAGGGGUGGAUGAUCAUAGUGCUUGAGUUUGGUAAAUAAGUGGAUGAUCAUUUCAAUGCUUAUCUUAUAACACUCCCCCUUGAUCAUCCAUCUUGUAUUACGUGGUGCCUCGUUAAAAACCUAGUCAUGGAAAACCCAAUGAGAAAAACCGUAGUAAAAGUAAAAAGAGUACAACUACGUAAGCUCC
rnacentral:lncRNA from 1 species